UACAGAGGGUGCGAGCGUUAAUCGGAAUUACUGGGCGUAAAGGGCGCGUAGGCGGCCUGCUAAGUCGAACGUGAAAUCCCUGGGCUCAACCCAGGAACUGCGUCCGAUACUGGUUGGCUUGAAUCCGGGAGAGGGAUGUGGAAUUCCAGGUGUAGCGGUGAAAUGCGUAGAUAUCUGGAGGAACACCGGUGGCGAAGGCGGCAUCCUGGACCGAUACUGACGCUGAGGAGCGAAAGCCAGGGGAGCAAACGGG
rnacentral:rRNA from 1 species